rnacentral:rRNA from 1 species
GGGUUGUGAGGUUAAGCGACUAAGCGUACACGGUGGAUGCCCUGGCAGUCAGAGGCGAUGAAGGACGUGCUAAUCUGCGAAAAGCGUCGGUAAGGUGAUAUGAACCGUUACAGCCGGCGAUGUCCGAAUGGGGAAACCCAGUGCAAUUCGUUGCACUAUCGUUAACUGAAUACAUAGGUUAACGAGGCGAACCGGGGGAACUGAAACAUCUAAGUACCCCGAGGAAAAGAAAUCAACCGAGAUUCCCCCAGUAGCGGCGAGCGAACGGGGAGCAGCCCAGAGUCUGAAUCAGCUUGUGUGUUAGUGGAACGGUCUGGGAAGUCCGACGGUACAGGGUGAUAGUCCCGUACACCAAAAUGCACAGGUUGUGAACUCGAAGAGUAGGGCGGGACACGUGGUAUCCUGUCUGAAUAUGGGGGGACCAUCCUCCAAGGCUAAAUACUCCUGACUGACCGAUAGUGAACCAGUACCGUGAGGGAAAGGCGAAAAGAACCCCGGCGAGGGGAGUGAAAAAGAACCUGAAACCGUGUACGUACAAGCAGUGGGAGCACCUUCGGGUGUGACUGCGUACCUUUUGUAUAAUGGGUCAGCGACUUAUAUUCUGUAGCAAGGUUAACCGUAUAGGGGAGCCGCAGGGAAACCGAGUCUUAACUGGGCGUUAAGUUGCAGGGUAUAGACCCGAAACCCGGUGAUCUAGCCAUGGGCAGGUUGAAGGUUGGGUAACACUAACUGGAGGACCGAACCGACUAAUGUUGAAAAAUUAGCGGAUGACUUGUGGCUGGGGGUGAAAGGCCAAUCAAACCGGGAGAUAGCUGGUUCUCCCCGAAAGCUAUUUAGGUAGCGCCUCGUGAACUCAUCUUCGGGGGUAGAGCACUGUUUCGGCUAGGGGGUCAUCCCGACUUACCAACCCGAUGCAAACUACGAAUACCGAAGAAUGUUAUCACGGGAGACACACGGCGGGUGCUAACGUCCGUCGUGAAGAGGGAAACAACCCAGACCGCCAGCUAAGGUCCCAAAGUCAUGGUUAAGUGGGAAACGAUGUGGGAAGGCACAGACAGCCAGGAUGUUGGCUUAGAAGCAGCCAUCAUUUAAAGAAAGCGUAAUAGCUCACUGGUCGAGUCGGCCUGCGCGGAAGAUGUAACGGGGCUAAACCAUGCACCGAAGCUGCGGCAGCGACACUAUGUGUUGUUGGGUAGGGGAGCGUUCUGUAAGCCUGCGAAGGUGGCCUGUGAGGGUUGCUGGAGGUAUCAGAAGUGCGAAUGCUGACAUAAGUAACGAUAAAGCGGGUGAAAAGCCCGCUCGCCGGAAGACCAAGGGUUCCUGUCCAACGUUAAUCGGGGCAGGGUGAGUCGACCCCUAAGGCGAGGCCGAAAGGCGUAGUCGAUGGGAAACAGGUUAAUAUUCCUGUACUUGGUGUUACUGCGAAGGGGGGACGGAGAAGGCUAUGUUAGCCGGGCGACGGUUGUCCCGGUUUAAGCAUGUAGGCGGAGGUUCCAGGUAAAUCCGGUACCUUUUAACGCUGAGGUGUGAUGACGAGGCACUACGGUGCUGAAGUAACAAAUGCCCUGCUUCCAGGAAAAGCCUCUAAGCAUCAGGUAACAUCAAAUCGUACCCCAAACCGACACAGGUGGUCAGGUAGAGAAUACCAAGGCGCUUGAGAGAACUCGGGUGAAGGAACUAGGCAAAAUGGUGCCGUAACUUCGGGAGAAGGCACGCUGGUGUGUAGGUGAAGUCCCUGCGGACGGAGCUGAGACCAGUCGAAGAUACCAGCUGGCUGCAACUGUUUAUUAAAAACACAGCACUGUGCAAACACGAAAGUGGACGUAUACGGUGUGACGCCUGCCCGGUGCCGGAAGGUUAAUUGAUGGGGUUAUCCGUAAGGAGAAGCUCUUGAUCGAAGCCCCGGUAAACGGCGGCCGUAACUAUAACGGUCCUAAGGUAGCGAAAUUCCUUGUCGGGUAAGUUCCGACCUGCACGAAUGGCGUAAUGAUGGCCAGGCUGUCUCCACCCGAGACUCAGUGAAAUUGAACUCGCUGUGAAGAUGCAGUGUACCCGCGGCAAGACGGAAAGACCCCGUGAACCUUUACUAUAGCUUGACACUGAACAUUGAGCCUUGAUGUGUAG